UACGAAGGGGGCUAGCGUUGCUCGGAAUCACUGGGCGUAAAGCGCGUGUAGGCGGCAGCGUGUGUCGGGCGUGAAAUCCCACGGCUCAACCGUGGAAGUGCACUCGAAACUGCGCAGCUAGAGUCCUGGAGAGGAAGGUGGAAUGCUUGGUGUAGAGGUGAAAUUCGUAGAUAUCAAGCGGAACACCGGUGGCGAAGGCGGCCUUCUGGACAGUGACUGACGCUGAGACGCGAAAGCGUGGGGAGCGAACAGG
rnacentral:rRNA from 1 species